GCCAUGUCACGUUGAAACACCGCUUCUCUUCUGAUCCCCAAAGUUAAGCAACGUUGAGUUUGGUCCGAACCUAGAUGGGUGGCUGCCUGGGAAUACCAGGUGCUGUGA